GUGGCCGGGAGCUGGGAGCUGCAGGGCAGUGUGCUGCCCACUCUGCCCAGCCUGCCAUGGAAACCCUACAAUGCAGCGAAUCCAGCUCACAUGGACUUGGGGCAGGAUGGCCAACCCUGCCUGUGAGGUUGCAGGUGUUCCAUGAACAUGGAGAAGGAAUCGCUAAGACGGACACAGAGAAUGACACAGUGAAUGCUCUGAAGACUGCCUUCCCCACCUGAUUCUGCAAUGAAACAGAAUAAACAUGUUCACUUACAUGGA